rnacentral:rRNA from 1 species
UGCAAGUCGAACGAGCUUCCGUUGAAUGACGUGCUUGCACUGAUUUCAACAAUGAAGCGAGUGGCGAACUGGUGAGUAACACGUGGGGAAUCUGCCCAGAAGCAGGGGAUAACACUUGGAAACAGGUGCUAAUACCGUAUAACAACAAAAUCCGCAUGGAUUUUGUUUGAAAGGUGGCUUCGGCUAUCACUUCUGGAUGAUCCCGCGGCGUAUUAGUUAGUUGGUGAGGUAAAGGCCCACCAAGACGAUGAUACGUAGCCGACCUGAGAGGGUAAUCGGCCACAUUGGGACUGAGACACGGCCCAAACUCCUACGGGAGGCAGCAGUAGGGAAUCUUCCACAAUGGACGAAAGUCUGAUGGAGCAAUGCCGCGUGAGUGAAGAAGGGUUUCGGCUCGUAAAACUCUGUUGUUAAAGAAGAACACCUUUGAGAGUAACUGUUCAAGGGUUGACGGUAUUUAACCAGAAAGCCACGGCUAACUACGUGCCAGCAGCCGCGGUAAUACGUAGGUGGCAAGCGUUGUCCGGAUUUAUUGGGCGUAAAGCGAGCGCAGGCGGUUUUUUAAGUCUGAUGUGAAAGCCUUCGGCUUAACCGGAGAAGUGCAUCGGAAACUGGGAGACUUGAGUGCAGAAGAGGACAGUGGAACUCCAUGUGUAGCGGUGGAAUGCGUAGAUAUAUGGAAGAACACCAGUGGCGAAGGCGGCUGUCUAGUCUGUAACUGACGCUGAGGCUCGAAAGCAUGGGUAGCGAACAGGAUUAGAUACCCUGGUAGUCCAUGCCGUAAACGAUGAGUGCUAAGUGUUGGAGGGUUUCCGCCCUUCAGUGCUGCAGCUAACGCAUUAAGCACUCCGCCUGGGGGAGUACGACCGCAAGGUUGAAACUCAAAGGAAUUGACGGGGGCCCGCACAAGCGGUGGAGCAUGUGGUUUAAUUCGAAGCUAC